UUGUGGCGGCGUUAUUCCAUAACACAAACGACUCUCGGCAACGGAUAUCUCGGCUCUAGCAUCGAUGAAGAACGUAGCGAAAUGCGAUACUUGGUGUGAAUUGCAGAAUCCCGUGAACCAUCGAGUCUUUGAACGCAAGUUGCGCCCGAAGCC
rnacentral:rRNA from 1 species